rnacentral:rRNA from 1 species
GAUGAACGCUAGCGGCAGGCCUAAUACAUGCAAGUCGAACGGUAGAUCGGGUAGCAAUACUUGAUUGAGAGUGACGUAAGGGUGCGUAACACGUAUGCAAUCUACCCUCAACAGGAGUAUAGCUCGGGGAAACUCGGAUUAACACUCCAUAACAUUACGAUGUGGCAUCACAUUGUGAUUAAAACUCCGGUGGUUGAGGAUGAGCAUGCGUCUGAUUAGUUAGUUGGAGGUGUAACGGACCCCCAAGACGAUGAUCAGUAGGGGAACUGAGAGGUUGAUCCCCCACACUGGCACUGAGAUACGGGCCAGACUCCUACGGGAGGCAGCAGUAGGGAAUAUCGGUCAAUGGGUGAGAGCCUGAACCAGCCAUGCCGCGUGCAGGAAGACGGCCUUCUGGGUUGUAAACUGCUUUUAUCUGGGGAUAAAAAGCCCAUGCGUGGGACAUUGAAGGUACCAGAUGAAUAAGCACCGGCUAACUACGUGCCAG